AGACCCGAAACCCGGUGAUCUAGCCAUGGGCAGGUUGAAGGUUGGGUAACACUAACUGGAGGACCGAACCGACUAAUGUUGAAAAAUUAGCGGAUGACCUGUGGCUGGGGGUGAAAGGCCAAUCAAACCGGGAGAUAGCUGGUUCUCCCCGAAAGCUAUUUAGGUAGCGCCUCGUGAAUUCAUCUCCGGGGGUAGAGCACUGUUUCGGCUAGGGGGCCAUCCCGGCUUACCAACCCGAUGCAAACUGCGAAUACCGGAGAAUGUUAUCACGGGAGACACACGGCGGGUGCUAACGUCCGUCGUGAAGAGGGAAACAACCCAGACCGCCAGCUAAGGUCCCAAAGUCAUGGUUAAGUGGGAAACGAUGUGGGAAGGCCCAGACAGCCAGGAUGUUGGCUUAGAAGCAGCCAUCAUUUAAAGAAAGCGUAAUAGCUCACUGGUCGAGUCGGCCUGCGCGGAAGAUGUAACGGGGCUAAACCAUGCACCGAAGCUGCGGCAGCGAACGUAUCACCCAAGACAACUUUACGGAGUUGACGAUUGACGGAGCGAAGCGACGUCAAAGCGUUCAUUAAAGUCGAGUUGGCUUAGGGAUACGUUCGUUGGGUAGGGGAGCGUUCUGUAAGCCUGUGAAGGUGUGUCGUGAGGCAUGCUGGAGGUAUCAGAAGUGCGAAUGCUGACAUAAGUAACGAUAAAGCGGGUGAAAAGCCCGCUCGCCGGAAGACCAAGGGUUCCUGUCCAACGUUAA
rnacentral:rRNA from 2 species